rnacentral:rRNA from 1 species
UGAACGCUGGCGGCAUGCCUUACACAUGCAAGUCGAACGGCAGCACGGGUGCUUGCACCUGGUGGCGAGUGGCGAACGGGUGAGUAAUAUAUCGGAACGUGCCCUGGAGUGGGGGAUAACGUAGCGAAAGUUACGCUAAUACCGCAUACGAUCUACGGAUGAAAGUGGGGGAUCGCAAGACCUCAUGCUCCUGGAGCGGCCGAUAUCUGAUUAGCUAGUUGGUGGGGUAAAAGCCUACCAAGGCGACGAUCAGUAGCUGGUCUGAGAGGACGACCAGCCACACUGGGACUGAGACACGGCCCAGACUCCUACGGGAGGCAGCAGUGGGGAAUUUUGGACAAUGGGGAAACCCUGAUCCAGCAAUGCCGCGUGUGU